ACCUUGCCUUGACUGAUCAGGACUCCUCAGGUCACCUUCUCACAAUGAGGCUCCCUGCUCAGCUCCUGGGGCUGCUGGUGCUCUGGCUCCCUGGGACCAGUGGGGAUAUCGUGAUGACCCAGACUCCACUCUCCCUGCCCGUCACCCCUGGAGAGCCGGCCUCCAUCUCCUGCAGGUCUAGUCAGAGCCUCUUCGAUAGUGAUUAUGCAAACACCUAUUUGGAUUGGUGUCUGCAGAAGCCAGGCCAGUCUCCACAGCUCCUGAUCUAUAUGCUUUUCAACCGGGUCUCUGGAGUCCCAGACAGGUUCAGUGGCAGUGGGUCAGGCACUGAUUUCACACUGAAAAUCAGCCGGGUGGAGGCUGAGGAUGUUGGGGUAUAUUACUGCAUGCAAAGUAUAGAGUAUCCUCCCACAGUGGUAUAGCCUCGAACAGAAACCUCCCUGCUGGGUUGGCCCAGCUGCCCACGUGCACUGCUUGUCUGGGGGAGCAGCUGAGCAGAGUUUCUGAGUCUCCAGAACAGAAGGCUGUUGGAGAUGUCAGGGCAGGGUUUGCUGCUGAGGACGUUGGUCCAUGAGAAGCUCAAUAGCACCUCAGAUCCCAAAUGUUAAAUCCCCACCAGCUGCCACAGCCUGGGAAGGCAUAAGGAGGAGGAGAAUUCAUGGGGGCCACGUGCCCUGGGAACAACCAACUAUGAUGAAGGGAAAGUGAAUGAAAGCUCACAUCCUCACCCUCCCUGUCUUGCCCACAUUUGUCAGGUAUGUGAAACUGUCAGAAUAACCAGACCAUGAAUGCAGUUUAGUGACAACACAAGGAGAACAUAUAUGGGAAAUGACCAGCUUGGGGUUUAUUUCAAACACGAUGGCACUUAGUCAUGUUGGGGAACUCAUAGUCUCCCGUCUCCCUAAUUCUGCUCUCUGACUCGCACUAAACCCUCCUCUCCAGUGUCUUACAGGAGAAAGCACUGUGCACAAGCUGUCAGCAGGGGAGUAUGGCUAAGGACACUGAGUAAAAAUCUUUAAUGUUGGAUUAUUCAAAUAGACUUUGUAAACUCAUGGCAGGUAUGAGAUCCUGUUGUGAAAAAUUGAUUACUCCUAAUUAUUAUUUGGAAAGUGAAAAGCAGGCUUUCACAAUUCCAAAAGUGGCCUUUGAAAAUAAACUGCAUAAACUCAA